AAACGCUGAGCAUCCACUCCACGGCGGUCAGGUUUUUUAUAUGGGACGAAUCCAAAGACCAGGUCAGCGAUUCCAGAACCCAGAGUGUUCCAGUGUUCACUGGAUGGCGAGCCAACCCAAGAUCCUAGGAGAUGAUAUACAUACACACGCACACUCAUUUGCACAUUGAUGGACUAUAAUCCUCUACUGUACAAGUAGUACGGUAGGACAGACAAUCACACACACACACUUCUCAUUGGACGAACUCUAAUGCAAUACACCCGUUUGUCAUGGGCCCCACCGGUACCAUUUGGACUUAAAAAGACUAAUUCUUUUACUUGUGCACAAUUUUAUUUUAUUCUAUUUUUUUGCUACUUUGGGGGGAAAUUUUAUACUUGAAGUUCUGUUAAACCUGUUGUAAUACUGUGUGGUUACAAAAUUCUUUUACAAGACUUAACAUCACUAAAAUACUUUUAAGCCACACAACUGUGUUUUGUCUGGUUUCUGUGUCAUUCAUGUACCAGAGCUCUAAGAGUCGUUCUUCAUCUUCUGAUACUAGCCCAAAUUACUCAUUACCUUGGUAAUUAUCCAUUGGUACUGUACUUCAAUCCACAUGAACCCUGACCUCAAAUAUGAAAACAUCUCAGCUCAGUCAGCAGAGCAGGAUGAUCAUCACUACAGCAGACUGCACUUCAGUGACAACCACACAGCUGACCUCUACUCCACCAUCGAGCCACUGCCUGCUCACUAAAGAAGUGUUUGUUACCAUGGUGAUUUAAAGGGACCGUUUCCCCUUAAGGUUUUAGUAUCAUAGCAGAGACACCAAAGCUGCUACAUCAGUCAGUGUUUGUACUCUCUGUACUGGAUCAUAAAAAACAGAAAGGAAUAACAGAAAUAUAGAAAUGCCUGAGCUUUUCCAUUCAAACAUAUCUGAUAAUGAAAUGCAUGUGUUACAAAUGUCAGAAAUGAAAACAUCAAAGCUAUCAUGUCUGCAGGAACUUAUUUUAUUUAUUUUUUUUUAAUUUUUGGAAUGAAAAUGUAAUGAAAUGUGAUCAUAUCACAUGUUUAACUCCUUUAUAAAAGUGAAAAAAAUAUAAUAAUAAAGCCAGAGAAUGUUGAUAAGUAAUAGAAAACAAAAAAUUCAAAGGUAAAAUCAGUAUGAAGUGGAAAAAUGUCCUGCAAUACAUCAAUUCUUCACUAGAGGGCUCAUCUGCGAGGAAAAAGAAAAGAUAAAUGAGGAAGUGAUGGUGUUAAAGCUGAAUGCAGUUUAUCUGCAGACACA
ensembl:lncRNA